rnacentral:rRNA from 1 species
UACGUAGGCAGCAAGCGUUGUUCGGAAUUACUGGGCGUAAAGAGCUCGUAGGCGGCUUGGUAAGUCGGAUGUGAAAUCUCCAUGCUUAACGUGGAGCGGCCAUCUGAUACUGCUAUGGCUUGAGUCCGGUAGGGGCCCACGGAAUUCCUGGUGUAGCGGUGAAAUGCGCAGAUAUCAGGAGGAACACCGGUGGCGAAGGCGGUGGGCUGGGCCGGUACUGACGCUGAGGAGCGAAAGCGUGGGGAGCGAACAGG